rnacentral:ncRNA from 3 species
UAGCAGCACGUAAAUACUGGCG